AACGUAGGAGACGAACGUUAUCCGGAGUUACUGGGCGUAAAGGGCGUGUAGGCGGUUUGUUAAGUCUGGCGUUAAAGCUCUCGGCUAAACCGGGAGAGGUCGUUGGAUACUGGCGAACUAGAGGAUGGUAGAGGCGUGUGGAAUUCCGGGUGUAGUGGUGAAAUGCGUAGAGAUCCGGAGGAACACCAGUGGCGAAGGCGACACGCUGGGCCAUACCUGACGCUAAAGCGCGACAGCAUGGGGAGCAAACGGG
rnacentral:rRNA from 1 species